AGUGAACGCUGGCGGUAGGCCUAACACAUGCAAGUCGAACGGCAGCACAGUAAGAGCUUGCUCUUACGGGUGGCGAGUGGCGGACGGGUGAGGAAUACAUCGGAAUCUACUUUUUCGUGGGGGAUAACGUAGGGAAACUUACGCUAAUACCGCAUACGACCUACGGGUGAAAGCAGGGGAUCUUCGGACCUUGCGCGAUUGAAUGAGCCGAUGUCGGAUUAGCUAGUUGGCGGGGUAAAGGCCCACCAAGGCGACGGUCCGUAGCUGGUCUGAGAGGAUGAUCAGCCACACUGGAAAUGAGACACGGUCCAGACUCCUACGGGAGGCAGCAGUGGGGAAUAGUGGACAAUGGGCGCAAGCCUGAUCCAGCCAUACCGCGUGGGUGAAGAAGGCCUUCGGGUUGUAAAGCCCUUUUGUUGGGAAAGAAAAGCAGCAGGUUAAUACCCCGCUGUUCUGACGGUACCCAAAGAAUAAGCACCGGCUAACUUCGUG
rnacentral:rRNA from 1 species